rnacentral:rRNA from 1 species
CCUACGGGAGGCAGCAGUGUUGAAUAUUGGUCAAUGGUCGGAAGACUGAACCAGCCAUGCCGCGUGCAGGAAGAAGCAUCUAUGGUGUGUAAACUGCUUUUGUACGGGAAGAAACACUCCUACGUGUAGGAGCUUGACGGUACCGUAAGAAUAAGGAUCGGCUAACUCCGWGCCAGCAGCCGCGGUAAU